rnacentral:rRNA from 1 species
AUUGAACGCUGGCGGCAGGCCUAACACAUGCAAGUCGAACGAGUGGCGGACGGGUGCGUAAUGUCUGUGCCACUGCCUGCUGGAGGGGGAUCACUCCUGGAAACGGUCUCUCAUACCUCCUACCAUCAGAUUUGCCCAGAUGGGAUUAGCUAGUUGGUGGGGUAACGGCUCACCAAGGCGACGAUCCCUAGCUGGUCUGAGAGGAUGACCAGCCACCCUGGAACUGAGACACGGUCCAGACUCCUACGGGAGGCAGCAGUGGGGAAUAUUGCACAAUGGGCGCAAGCCUGAUGCAGCCAUGCCGCGUGUAUGAAGAAGGCCUUCGGGUUGUAAAGUACUUUCAGCGGGGAGGCGUUACCCGCAGAAGAAGCACAGGCUAACUCCGUGCAAGCAGCCGCGGUAAUAC